rnacentral:rRNA from 1 species
GACGAACGCUGGCGGCGUGCUUAACACAUGCGAGUCGAACGGAAAGGCCCUGGUUUUGUGGGGUGCUCGAGUGGCGAACGGGUGAGUAACACGUGAGUAACCUGCCCUUGACUUUGGGAUAACUUCAGGAAACUGGGGCUAAUACCGGAUAGGAGCUCGUGCUGCAUGGUGGGGGGUGGAAGGUUUCGGGUGUGGGGGAUGGACGCGGGGUUUAUCAGCUUGUGGGUGGGGUAGUGGCUUACCAAGGCUUUGAGGGGUAGCCGGCGUGAGGGGGUGACCGGCCACAUUGGGACAGAGAUACGCCCCAGUCUCAUACGGGAGGCAGCAGGGGGGAAUAUUGCACAAGGGGCGGAAGCCUGAUGCAGCAACGCCGCGUGCGAGAUGACCGCCUUCGGGUUAUAAACCGCUUUCGCCUGUGACGACGCGUGAGUGACGGUACCGGGUAAAGAAGCACCGGCUAACUACGUG